AAUGCUGACGUGGAGCUGCAGCAGCGAGCCGUGGAGUACCUCACCCUCAGCUCAGUGGCCAGCACCGACGUCCUGGUCAGAGCCCUGUCCCCCCACCCCACCCCUCUGGCACACCCCCUUCCCGCCCUCCCCUCCUCCUGACCCGAACUGACCUUCCCCACCCCGACCGCGGCAGGCCACGGUGCUGGAGGAGAUGCCGCCCUUCCCCGAGCGCGAGUCGUCCAUCCUGGCCAAGUUGAAACGCAAGAAGGGGCCAGGGGCCGGCAGCGCCCUGGACGAUGGCCGGAGGGACCCCAGCAGCAACGACAUCAACGGGGGCAUGGAGCCCACCCCCAGCACUGUGUCGACGCCCUCGCCCUCCGCCGACCUCCUGGGGCUGCGGGCAGCCCCUCCCCCGGCAGCACCCCCGGCUUCUGCAGGAGCAGGGAACCUUCUGGUGGACGUCUUCGAUGGCCCGGCCGCCCAGCCCAGCCUGGGGCCCACCCCCGAGGAGGCCUUCCUCAGGUAGCACCCCCUGGGCCCGGGCCCCUUCUCGCGGCCACCCCCAGGGCUGUCUCUUCUCGGCCUCUGUCCCCGUUUUCCCUGAGCCCCUCCCCAGCCCCCGACUCGCUCCUCUCUCCAUCCUGAUGCCUUCGCCAGCCCUGGCUGCUGCCUCCCCUGCCCCAGCCUCCCUGCUCACGCCCUCCCUCUGCCACUCUGGACUCCGCCGACCCUGGCCACCCUUCGUUGUCUCCUUUCCUGUCGCCGUUUCUCAGCCUGCUCUUCCUUUUCUCCUUCUCUCCUUCCCUCUUCCCUCCCUCCCUCUCUGUCUCUCUUCUGCCCUCUCGCUGCCUAUCUGGGAUUGGCUGCCUGCCACGCCUGUCUUCUCUUGUCUGCUCUGGGAUUGGAUGGCCCAGCGAGCUGGAGCCGCCUGCCCCCGAGAGCCCCAUGGCUUUGCUGGCUGACCCAGCUCCAGCUGCUGAGUAAGGGGUGGCCUGGGGUGGGAGGUCGGUGGGGCGGACUCGGGUGUCCCCAGGGAGAGUUAGGGGACUGGGAGCCCUCGUCAACGGGUUCCUGAUGAGCAGCAGAGGCAGGGACUUGGAGGAAAGGGAAACUUGGUGUCUGCCGAUGCGGGGGCACGGGCCAGGGUUCUAUUCCCAUUGGAGGCCACUGCUGGAUGGAUGCGAGGUUCCUCGAGGCUCUGUGAGGGGUCUGGAUAUGUGGUUCUGGGGUUCUGUCCUUAAGGCUUGUUCUCGCACUCAAUCGCUCUGGGCCUUUGCCCCUCCCCACCAAGUUCCUUCCCAUCUCACUCCGCUCCAUGCCUCCAGCCCAGGUCCUGAGGACAUCGGCCCUCCCAUUCCGGAAGCCGAUGAAUUGCUGAAUAAGUGAGUCCUGGGAGAGGUGGGGGAGGGGAACGGGACAGGUGCGGAGCCCAGGCCAGGUGCAGACAGGCACCCCCGUCAUCUUGCGCCCCCUGCCCCCUCAGGUUUGUGUGUAAGAACAACGGGGUCCUGUUCGAGAACCAGCUGCUGCAGAUCGGAGUCAAGUCAGAGUUCCGACAGAACCUGGGUGUGUCCCGGGGGACUGUGGGAAUGGGUCGGAGGGAGACCUUGGGGAAGGGGUCAGAGGGACUCAGAUGGAGCUCUGCCUCCCCCACCUACUGCAGGCCGCAUGUAUCUCUUCUAUGGCAACAAGACCUCGGUGCAGUUCCAGAAUUUCUCACCCACUGUGGUUCACCCGGGAGACCUCCAGACUCAUAUCCUCUCAGGCCCGGCCCAGCCUCCUGCCUCUCCACGUCGGCCUUCCUCACCGUGGGGAAGCCGGCUGACCCAGGUCCACACUUCUCUUCAGCCUCUCUUGGGCACGCAAUUAGUUCUCUGAGAUUGAGUGUCUGCAUCUGUAAGAUGGGGGUGGGAUUCCUUCCCCCAGGACAGGGGAUGACAGUGAAGUGGUGUGUGGGAGGCUUUACUUCCAGAACUCCACCUGCUCCAGGCAUUUUGUCCCUGUCUGGCACCUUCCGUGUCCUGCCAUCGUCCUCCACUGGGCUCCAUGUCAUGAUGCCAGCACCGCCUGCACUCAGGAGCCAGGCCUGCGGGUCCAGACGCUGAUCAGGCCUGAUCUGGGCUGAGUCACUUUGCCUCUCUGGGCUCUCCUGUCCCCGCUGUGAAGUGUAUGUAGACCCUCCUCUUCCUCAUAGGGUUAUUGUGAAGAUCAGAGUGUCUGGAAAACCCUGGAAGGGCGGCUGGAGGUAUCAGUACCCCCUGCCCGUUCUCUGGGCCUCCAUUUCCACAUUCAUGAAAUUAGAAAAGCUCGACCUGAAAACUCCUUCCGGCCGGGCGUGGGUGCUCACACCUGUAAUCCCAGCACUGGCAGGCUGAGGCCAGUGGAUCAUUUGAGUUUAGGAGUUCAAGACCAGCCUGGCCAACAUGGUGAAACCCCAUCUCCACUAAAAAUACAAAAAUUAGCUGGGUGGUAGUGGCACGCGACUGUAAUCCCAGCUACUCAGGAGGCUGAGACAGGAGAAUCGCUUGAGCCUGGGAGGUGGUGGUUGUGGUGAGCCGAGAUUGUACCACUACACUCCAGUCUGGGCGACAGAGUCUCAAAAAAAAAAAAAGAAAAGAAAAACAAAAUUCCUUCUUCGGUCGGGGGCGGUGGCUCACGCCUGUAAUCCUAGCACUUUGAGUGGCCGAGGUGGUUGGAUCACGAGGUCAGGAGAUCGAGACCAUUCUGGCUAACAUGGUGAAACCCCUUCUCUACUAAAAAUACAAAAAAUUAGCCGGGUGUGGUGGUGGGUGCCUGUAGUCCCAGCUACUCGGGAGGCUGAGGCAGGAGAGUGGCGUGAACCCAGGAGGCGAAGUUGCAGUAAGCCGAGAUCGCGCCGCUGCACUCCAGCCUGGGCGACAGAGCGAGACUCCGUCUCAGG
rnacentral:sRNA from 1 species